rnacentral:rRNA from 2 species
UUAAGGGCGCACGGUGGAUGCCUUGGCACUAGAAGCCGAUGAAGGACGUUACUAACGACGAUAUGCUUUGGGGAGCUGUAAGUAAGCUUUGAUCCAGAGAUUUCCGAAUGGGGAAACCCAGCAUGAGUUAUGUCAUGUUAUCGAUAUGUGAAUACAUAGCAUAUCAGAAGGCACACCCGGAGAACUGAAACAUCUUAGUACCCGGAGGAAGAGAAAGAAAAUUCGAUUCCCUUAGUAGCGGCGAGCGAAACGGGAAGAGCCCAAACCAACAAGCUUGCUUGUUGGGGUUGUAGGACACUCUAUACGGAGUUACAAAGGACGACAUUAGACGAAUCAUCUGGAAAGAUGAAUCAAAGAAGGUAAUAAUCCUGUAGUCGAAAAUGUUGUCUCUCUUGAGUGGAUCCUGAGUACGACGGAGCACGUGAAAUUCCGUCGGAAUCUGGGAGGACCAUCUCCUAAGGCUAAAUACUCUCUAGUGACCGAUAGUGAACCAGUACCGUGAGGGAAAGGUGAAAAGCACCCCGGAAGGGGAGUGAAAUAGAACCUGAAACCGUGUGCUUACAAGUAGUCAGAGCCCGUUAAUGGGUGAUGGCGUGCCUUUUGUAGAAUGAACCGGCGAGUUACGAUUUGAUGCAAGGUUAAGCAGUAAAUGUGGAGCCGUAGCGAAAGCGAGUCUGAAUAGGGCGUUUAGUAUUUGGUCGUAGACCCGAAACCAGGUGAUCUACCCUUGGUCAGGUUGAAGUUCAGGUAACACUGAAUGGAGGACCGAACCGACUUACGUUGAAAAGUGAGCGGAUGAACUGAGGGUAGCGGAGAAAUUCCAAUCGAACCUGGAGAUAGCUGGUUCUCUCCGAAAUAGCUUUAGGGCUAGCCUCAAGUGAUGAUUAUUGGAGGUAGAGCACUGUUUGGACGAGGGGCCCCUCUCGGGUUACCGAAUUCAGACAAACUCCGAAUGCCAAUUAAUUUAACUUGGGAGUCAGAACAUGGGUGAUAAGGUCCGUGUUCGAAAGGGAAACAGCCCAGACCACCAGCUAAGGUCCCAAAAUAUAUGUUAAGUGGAAAAGGAUGUGGCGUUGCCCAGACAACUAGGAUGUUGGCUUAGAAGCAGCCAUCAUUUAAAGAGUGCGUAAUAGCUCACUAGUCGAGUGACACUGCGCCGAAAAUGUACCGGGGCUAAACAUAUUACCGAAGCUGUGGAUUGUCCUUUGGACAAUGGUAGGAGAGCGUUCUAAGGGCGUUGAAGCAUGAUCGUAAGGACAUGUGGAGCGCUUAGAAGUGAGAAUGCCGGUGUGAGUAGCGAAAGACGGGUGAGAAUCCCGUCCACCGAUUGACUAAGGUUUCCAGAGGAAGGCUCGUCCGCUCUGGGUUAGUCGGGUCCUAAGCUGAGGCCGACAGGCGUAGGCGAUGGAUAACAGGUUGAUAUUCCUGUACCACCUAUAAUCGUUUUAAUCGAUGGGGGGGACGCAGUAGGAUAGGCGAAGCGUGCGAUUGGAUUGCACGUCUAAGCAGUAAGGCUGAGUAUUAGGCAAAUCCGGUACUCAUUAAGGCUGAGCUGUGAUGGGGAGAAGACAUUGUGUCUUCGAGUCGUUGAUUUCACACUGCCGAGAAAAGCCUCUAGAUAGAAAAUAGGUGCCCGUACCGCAAACCGACACAGGUAGUCAAGAUGAGAAUUCUAAGGUGAGCGAGCGAACUCUCGUUAAGGAACUCGGCAAAAUGACCCCGUAACUUCGGGAGAAGGGGUGCUCUUUAGGGUUAACGCCCAGAAGAGCCGCAGUGAAUAGGCCCAAGCGACUGUUUAUCAAAAACACAGGUCUCUGCUAAACCGUAAGGUGAUGUAUAGGGGCUGACGCCUGCCCGGUGCUGGAAGGUUAAGAGGAGUGGUUAGCUUCUGCGAAGCUACGAAUCGAAGCCCCAGUAAACGGCGGCCGUAACUAUAACGGUCCUAAGGUAGCGAAAUUCCUUGUCGGGUAAGUUCCGACCCGCACGAAAGGCGUAACGAUUUGGGCACUGUCUCAACGAGAGACUCGGUGAAAUCAUAGUACCUGUGAAGAUGCAGGUUACCCGCGACAGGACGGAAAGACCCCGUGGAGCUUUACUGUAGCCUGAUAUUGAAAUUCGGCACAGCUUGUACAGGAUAGGUAGGAGCCUUUGAAACGUGAGCGCUAGCUUACGUGGAGGCGCUGGUGGGAUACUACCCUAGCUGUGUUGGCUUUCUAACCCGCACCACUUAUCGUGGUGGGAGACAGUGUCAGGCGGGCAGUUUGACUGGGGCGGUCGCCUCCUAAAAGGUAACGGAGGCGCUCAAAGGUUCCCUCAGAAUGGUUGGAAAUCAUUCAUAGAGUGUAAAGGCAUAAGGGAGCUUGACUGCGAGACCUACAAGUCGAGCAGGGUCGAAAGACGGACUUAGUGAUCCGGUGGUUCCGUAUGGAAGGGCCAUCGCUCAACGGAUAAAAGCUACCCCGGGGAUAACAGGCUUAUCUCCCCCAAGAGUUCACAUCGACGGGGAGGUUUGGCACCUCGAUGUCGGCUCAUCGCAUCCUGGGGCUGUAGUCGGUCCCAAGGGUUGGGCUGUUCGCCCAUUAAAGCGGUACGCGAGCUGGGUUCAGAACGUCGUGAGACAGUUCGGUCCCUAUCCGUCGUGGGCGUAGGAAAUUUGAGAGGAGCUGUCCUUAGUACGAGAGGACCGGGAUGGACAUACCUCUGGUGUACCAGUUGUCGUGCCAACGGCAUAGCUGGGUAGCUAUGUGUGGACGGGAUAAGUGCUGAAAGCAUCUAAGCAUGAAGCCCCCCUCAAGAUGAGAUUUCCCAACUUCGGUUAUAAGAUCCCUCAAAGAUGAUGAGGUUAAUAGGUUCGAGGUGGAAGCAUGGUGACAUGUGGAGCUGACGAAUACUAAUCGAUCGAAGACUUAAUC